GUCAGCCUCUUCUCCAAAAUAGCUAGCAAUAAGAUGAGAGGUAAUGGCCUCAAGUUGCACCGGGGAGGCUCAGGUUGAAUAUUAGGAAACAUUUCUUCUCCGAAAGAGUAGCUGGGCACUAGAAUCAGCUGCCCAAGGUAGUGGUGGAAUCACUGUCCCUGGAGGUGUUCAAGAACUGUGUGGAUGUGGUAAUAAGGGACAUGAUUUAGUGGGCAAUAUUGGUGGUAGGUAGAUGGUUAGACUAGAUGAUCUUAGAGGUCCUUUCCAACCUUAAUGAUUCUUUGAGCAUUUUCUGCAUGAGAUGGAGAAGAUAUGAAUAUUUCUGAUGCAAUGGUAAAAGUAUAAUUGCAUUAAAACAACAACAGAGAAAAAGUUGGGACUUCUGGAGCUGUUAACUAUUUUGAGAUAAAAACCCUUUUGAGAUGCUAAAUGAGCUGAAAUGAAUAAUAGAAGACAGAAUUUAAUUAGAAUUGUGUUCAUGACUGGCUGUCUUGAUACAGGUUGCUUUUUUCUCCAGGACACAUCAGUUUUCCUUGUGAGUCUUUCCACACUACCUUGACUUUUCCUCAACACUUCUCUUGAAACGUUCCAGAGAGAGGAAAGAAGAAUUUUGCAGAGGAUGUCAGGGCAGCUAACAAAACAAAAAUAUACACGGGGCCAUUCUGUCUGAGGGAUUAGUAAUGCGCAAAGUCUAUACAUCAGUAUAAUGUCAGUGACUUAGAGCCACAUCUAUCUCAAGAAUGCUGUAACCAACGUGGUAACACAUUGCUGUGAGAACUCUUUGUGCAACUAGAAAUGUCUCAUUCCCUCCUGUGCGGUUGGGCACCAAGGGAAACAGGCCAUAAUUCCUGCAUGUCCAAACUAGUGUGGGUUGUUUCCCAUUGCCAGUCUUCAUGAUUACUUUUUUCCUUCAUUUUCCUUUUCUUUGUACUUCUGAGACCUUUUGCAAAUUUCUACAUUCACUGGGGUGUGAUGUCAAGAGAGACCAAGUGGGGUUUAUUUCAUGCUCCCUUUCCCACUGUGAGGAGAAUCUUUUGUCAUCAGACUGUACCUCAGCUUGUUUUUUACCUCACAAGAAUAAUUUAAGCUGAGUGUACUUCUCCAGCAUUGUGGAAGCUGCUGAAUGGGAACCAAUGUACAUUAGUAUAUGUUACUAACAGUAAGUCUAUGUUUCCUGCUAUUGCUACAGUUUGAAGUUUUCACUGGCAUAAAGUCAGUGUUUCUAGGAAUCUUUGAGAGUUUGGGCCCAAGUCUACUACUUUAUCAGUAAUACUUCAGUUUUAUCAGAAGGCUUAAAAAGGCUCCACAAAGUAGGUCCAUGCUUCUUUCUGCUACUUAAGAAACAGACACUCUUUUCUUCAGCAGAAAGGUUAUUCUCUACGUAAUGUUGAACACAGAGCAGUGGUUAUCUUGGUGAAAGCGUCACGGCAAUGCCAUUAUACAAACAUCUACUGUGCAGCCAUGUUGUGGUUUGGAUGGUGAUGGAGGCCAUGGCUGUGCUUGGAAAUCUCUUUUCUGGAAUUGCAAGCCUGUCAUAAUAGAUUAUGCAUUGUGCUUGGACAGCUUCUCCCUGGAAAGGAUUUACUUGCUUGAUGAUAAAUAUUGGUGAUAAAAAGCCCUACCUCAUCCAUUAUGGCUUUGUUUUGCCUUUGUGCACAAGUCUACUAGAGGGCUUAUCAGGAAAUCUAAGUUAAAACAAAGACAUAAAAAAAAAAAAGAGAAGAGAGCAUAUACAAUAAAACCAUAUCUUUCUGUGGUCUUACUUUGUCAGCAGAUCUAGAUAUUUUUAUCGAGGUUGAUUUGCGUAAUGUACCUGAGUUUUUUACCUGCGCACCCAGCUCUGUAAUUAAAGUACUGCAUCUCUUAAAAAUUCCCUGUGCUUUGUUCAUGCUUACUUUAUUAGAGUUUUAAGGUCAAAGUUCCUAUCAUUUCAAAAAGGUAGCAUUAGUGAUGUCUGUGAGAGGCUGCAACUGCUGACUGAUAUUUUCCCAGAUCCUUCUCUUUUAGACCUCUGUGGUGGCUGUGGGAUAUUAGUGUUCCUGCCUUAAAACAUUCCAUGAAUGUGUUUGCUACUGCCCAGGAAAGCGCUGAAUCUGAACCUAGCAUAUUUGUUCAGUUGCUUCAGUUGGAAGUUUGAGGCAUCAGAGGUAAGAUGGGGAAACUGUUCUUAGUGGCUGCUGCUAAGAAUGCUGGAAUUGAAAGGAUUUUUCUACUUAAGUCUUCCAAACAUAAACAGAAAUCUUCUAAUCUUUCCCAUAAACAUGUGUGUUUCCCACAAGUGUAUGUGCAUGGGACAGGCAGCUGUAGUUUUUGAACUGCAGUGAGGCACUUUAAACAGGCAGACCUUUUGUUAGCACUGCAAGACACCAGAGUCCUUUCCUGCCCGUGUUUCCUCUUCUGUGCUGCUCUGCAAGUCUGUGUCCUCCUUUAUGCUUCAGCAAGGGUAGCCAAAAACAUACCAGUGUGUGACAUUCUGAAAUUUGUUUGCUUCUUGCUUGUCUUUUGGAGAUUAAUUUUGCAUUGAAUUAUGAGAAAACAUUGCUCCAUCACAAGUCGUGUAUGCUACUAGUUUGCCAGCAUACUACAUCUGAAUUUUAAUAUUUAGGGUAAGGGCUACUUUAGAAUUUCAAUUAUAGCCUAAAAUAUGCGGAGCUUUUUUUCCCCUUGCAUCUAACUUCCUUUCUGGAAAUGACAGGGUCAUGUCACUUUUGUCAUCCUUUCUAGCUGGAGGCAGUUUUAAGCACUAUAAAUAUAGCAAACUGGAAAAACAUGAAUGAUGCUAUGGGCACAUCAAGUACCACACCUGUGGAAAUUAAAGGACCUGAUUUUUGAGCAGACAACCAGUGUUUACACGUUUAAUAUAUGUAGUAGCCCUUUCAGAUCCCAUCUGUUUCUGUGCCCUUUGGCAAGUGGGCUUGCCUUUUUUUUUUUUUCCCCCUCCAACAAACAAAGACAUUGUCAAGUUUAGAAAAUGACUGAUUUUAUUUUACUUGCUGCUUUCUUUGUCUCUGUUAUGAGAUGAUCCUUAAGGAGAAAAGGUUGACCCCAGAAAGGAGGGAAGCUUUGUCUUCAUGGCCUGCUAAUAAUCUCUCGCUACAAUAGGUUGAGAGGCCAAAAUUGCAAAUUAAGCACUUAUGACCUGAGUGUGUCUCACUUUCUGAUACGCAAGCGGUGCAGCACUGAGAGGUUUGUGCUAUAAAUGAACAUGAUCUGAAAACAGCUUUACAAAUCCACAGCUAAAGCAUGGCUGAGGCUUCCUGCUUAGGUGUUUUCAUCUUGCAGAGGGAGGUUGCAAAGACCCCGUUUCACUUGCAAAUUUGCCACCAUCCGAUGUGCUGGACACAUUGUGGUGACACCGACAUGUGUAAUGGAGUUUCUCCUCUGAAGCCAUGAAGCCCAAUGUAAGUAGUGGGUAGUUCCAGCACAACAGGAAAGCAAGUCAUUGCUGAAAACAGGAGCUGACUACCAGAUGUUGUAGUUCUGGCAUGUCAUCAUAUCUUAAGUGUCGAUCAAGGUUUAUGUGGGCAAUCCUCCUGGGCUUUUUGUUUGCACACCCAAUGAUUAGCAGCUCUGCAAAUUCAAGUGUUGUUUCUCUGUAAUACGUUUUCCCUGUGCCUUGAUUGCCCUUAUUUUAUUAGUUUUAAGGUCAACAUUCCUUUGGGUGUAUGGCCACCAUGACAUAGCUAACAUCAGGGCAGGGUAUGUUGCAUAGGAGCCUGGAGAUAAGUACCGUACAAUGAGGAGAAUUUGCUAUGCCAUUAACAUCAGUGUAAGGGUUGUGAUUAAGCUUUGCUGUUAGUGUCAGCUGAUAAUGUGGAAGGUCACGACUUUUGUUGCUUCCUUACCUCCAGCCACGAACCCACUGCCCUCUGUCUGGUUUGCUGGCUCUGGCAGUGCUGGCAUGUGGAGCACAGCAGCAUGCACAGAGUGUCUUUGCUUCUUGAGCUGUAAGUGGUGGUGAAGCAGGCAGCACCUGAUGAAAGCAUGCACCUAAUUGGAUUUUUAGAUCAUGCUUUAAAAAUGUAGGAUUUUCAAAUACUCCCAUGAAUGGGCAUUAAUACCGAGGGGAAAAUGGCUGGGUAGAUUUUUGAGUCAAAAUUUAAGUAUAAUUAAAAAGAGAUUAUUGAAUGUAAUAGUAUUAACAGAAGCGCUGUCCCGAAGUGAAGAACACGUGUGAGAGCAGCAGGCAGAGUGCACACCUGUGGGUGCACUGCAGCUUGACUUUAAGGUGAGAGCACUGUUCUUACAGUUGUGGGAAAAAGACACUGAUGGAGCUGUGCAGUUUUAGGGUCAGUGUUCCUAUCGCUGACUUCAAAAGAUUACGUCAGUGAGGUAUGUGAGGGGCUGCAGCUGCUGAUGUGCUUUCCUGGCUCUAACUGGGAAAAGCUAGAGUGGUUUAUCUGUAGCAGUAAGGACAAGUUCUAAUUCUCAAUUCUGUAUCGCUCUCAGUGCUGUUAGGACAGGAAUUUAUUAAGCUUGUCUUAUGAGCAUUUGAGUCUGCCACUUCGUGUUGCUACAAAGUGCCUUUUAUGACACGUUAUUCAUUAAUAUUGUUAUUGUUUGUGGUUUACCACUGGUUGCUCUUGGCUAUAAUUUUUGUCCUGUGCUUGACUGCUUUUCUCCUUUCCUUUCUACUGAAAUGUUAUUCGGGGCAAUAUCUUAAGGGAGACACUUCCACCUGUGUACUGGGCUGGGAAGCAUAAAUAAUUACUUGCAUUCACUGUGAAUUUUCAGCUGCUACUGGACAAGUAGUGGAAUUGACACUACUGCAGAAGCCGUGACUGCUUUUCCUGGCCUGUGAUGGUGCACAGAUCUGUAGUGACAGAACAGGCCAGUUCAGAAGACAGUCUCAGAUGAAGUCAGGUUUGUACUCAGAGACAGAAUAGCUAUAAAGACUUGGAAGCCAUGGGAGAAUUUCUUAGGAGUAUUGUACAAAGACUGACUGAAAAGGGAAAUUUGUUUAAUAUUUUCAUUUUGAGUUUUACAGCAUUGCUGCUUCACUUUUUUAGUGACUAUUGCAAUGCUAGAAAUACGCUGCAGGCUACCAGGGUUGCCAGUUCUGUUCUCGUGAACAGAAGAGAAAAUAGAUAAACCACUGAUGUGAAAAACAAAUGCUACUUGCUUUAUCUUCAUAAAAUACCAAAAAGAUUCUUCUAAUUUGUUAUUCUGAAAGAGACUGGUUUUAAGGCAUCAAAGACUUAGUGUGGAGCUUGGAACUGUAGUUAAGCCAAAACGUAACUGGGUUUAAGUGAAAAGCUUGACAGGUGAUCUGUCUGUAAAAUAAAAAAUUACAUACAAAGAAAGAGAAUUUAAAUUUAUGUCAGUUUAUACAGUGUUAAUCUCUGAAGUGCAGAUUUUAAUUCAAGACUGACAAUUUGGGUCAUGUUUGAAAUUGAUUUGGAGAUUGGUCCUUGAUUGUUUUAGAUUCAGUUCCAAAGCUGAGUUGUGAGUGUGAAUUGAGGAUCAAAGCCUAAACAUCACUUCAUUUAGAGCUUGAGGGUCAGACUGAAGGUUCUUGUUUUAAAGUGUUGAGGUUUUUUGUUGCAUUACUCCAAUUUCAAGCGCAAAAUACACCAUUGUACUGAAAAUCUCCAGUCUUUCAGGCUUAAAAGACUCAUUGAAGAUGAAGGUGAAGCUGUUUGUGUUCUUGUAAGCAUUAUAUGAAGAGACUUCAGUAAGAAUAAAAAAGUGUAAGUGGCACAGAGAACCCUGGCAAUAGAGAAACAUUGCUAUGGAGCUAAGAGAUAAAUGCUUGAAGGCAGCAGCUCUGCCUGUGUUUGAAGUUGUAGCAUUAGUGAGUAAGGACUUGCUGGCUCCUCACGAGGAGGGAGGAUCUGGUAGCUUCAAGAACACAGCAGCUUUGGUAAGAUACAGUCAUUCUGAGCUACUGCUGCAUCAAUGUAUAGGGCUGAUUUCUGUAUUGUUAAUUAAGUGAGGAGAGGCCACCCGCUGAUGGGCCCCUGCAGAUGCAGCUUUCAAAACAGACUGGCAAAGCUGCAGGCGAGUUGGGAAUCUUCUGUCCUUCUUAAGCACGGGAAAAAAUGUUUAUCAUACAUCAUCUUCUUACCCUUCCUCACCUGAGGGAUGUGGUACAACGCCUCAACCAGGAGUGAGGGCAAACAGAGUGAGAAGGCCACCAGUGAGGAUACAGGGAAAUGCUGCAGGAAGAACAGAGUGUAGAGCAGUUGGCAGUAGUCGGUUCAUCCGCCUGUGUGCCCUGGCAAGCUCCUAGUGAGUCUCAGGCCUGCAGCCAGCAGGUCAGAGGAGAGCAGAGCAAGGUGUGUGCUGCUGGGGAGGUGGGGGCACAAAGAUGCCAUGGGGCCAUCACUGACCACACGCUGUCCAUCCAGAUCUACUUCUGGUAACGUGCCAGUGGCACUCUAACUCCAUCAGAAUGCCUGCUUUCAGCAAGAAGCAGUUUACUGUCUCCUAAAAGGUUUUUCUUUUCCCCUUCCAGUAAGUCGGUCUUGAGUAGGUUGUAACUGAGCCAGUUGAAGAUGGUACAGUGAAGAGGCAUGUCUGUUUAGAAAUUGCAAGGAAUUAAACAUUUGGCAAUAACUGAUGUCUCUUUCUUGGCAGGAUCCAAAAAGCUCAGAGAGUGUUUUAUCUUCAUUAGUGAUCCAAAUUUUAUCACCGCUCCAGUGUUUUGUAAGCUCCUUCAGUAAAGAUGAGAGGCUGUAAUUGCAUAAAUCCAAGCUUUACCAUUUAUUAGGAGGGGCAGAGUCUUUGGAUGUAGACUUGAUGCUGAAAUUGUGCAGGUUCUAGGUCACCUUUACAUCUGCCUUGGGCACAGAGAGCACUGAAAGCCAAGAGGAUCUCUGUCAGUCAGAGCUGCAUUAGGUUGUGCUGUCAGAGGCUUCUGGGCAAUGCUUUGCCAUGUGGACACAGAUGAAAUGGAAAAGGAUUUUUAUUUUUAUUAUUCCAAACAGUGUAAGCUCUCUGCACCUUCUAGCAUGGCCCUAACAGCAUGUCAUUUUUGGUGGUUCUAGGGAUACUUGAGGGGUUUGUGUGAAACUGUCCCUGAUGGCUUUGAACCAGCCCCAGAGUCCUAAUUAAACAUUUUAGGUCAGGCGUGACUGCAGUGAGCCAAAUCCUGUGCCUUUGGUGUUUUGUUUUAUUCGAUCGGUACACUAUUUCUCUAUCUAAAACACUGCAGUAUUCCCAUUCAGCUUACUUGGUUAGUGUUGAGAGUUCCCAUUAAAAAAUUGUUUUAACCAGCUUUUUCUGCCUUUAUUCAACUUCUCAUUCUCAGCAACCGAUUCCUUUCUGGAACUUUGCUUUGCUUUUGUUUUUUUUUGUAUCUCUUGCUGCAAUUGAGAUUGUUUUCUAAACAUAUAGUGCUUUUCUGUUCCCUCUUCCUUUUCCUUGAACCCUUAUUUGUAUUCUCUCCACUCUCACUUGCUUGGCUUUAUAUAGAAGCCAACUACUGUUCAGCCACCCAGCAGUGGUUUUGUCACAGAGGAGUAGGUGAGUCCUCUUUGAAGUGUGUGUGAAAAGUUGCACUGUCAAAGACAGCACUGGGUUCCCUGCAAGCUAGUUCCAACUUCAGUUAGUAGUUUUAUUUGACUAACAUACAUAGAGCAGGUUUUGAAAACAUGUUUGCAAACAACUUUCUCACCAGCUUAUAAAUCUAAGCUGUGCUCUCUGACAACCGACAGACUAGUUUGCUUGCUUAAGGAAAUUGAAGCUGUGAGUCCUGUCAGUUUUUUACCCCACUGAGAUGAGGAAACGUUGUUCCUCAGCUGGCUCCCAGCAAAACGGAGGAAUUGAACUUAAGUCCCCUUUUCUCAGAAUCGAGCCCUCCCUAGUCACUGGGCUGUGCGGUUGUUGGGAUUGGUGUCCUCUCUACCUUGCAAAGAUAUUCUUCUUGUCCAAGAGGGUCUGUGAAGGUGACUUGCUGUGCUGCUGGUUCUGCCAUUUCCCCUUAGUGUUUUUAAUCACUUCCCGCGAACAGUUUCAUAGUUUGCUUUCAUAGCUACUUUGUGUUAGAAAAAAAUCAGCAAAAUGAAAGAGAGGAGAAAAAAAAAUAUUUUGGGGGGAAUUCUGAGAAACUUUUGAUUAAAGAACAAAUAAAUCUUUCUCUUGGUUUUGCCACAGAGUUAAAACAAUCCUUUGGUUUUUUUGCAUGGCUUUGUAGGAUCAUUAUCUGCUGGCUCAACUUCAUCUGAAUUUGCCAAUUCUCCAUGGGAAGGUUGAGUGCUUGGCAGCUUGGUUUUGGGCUCUUCUUUGAUUUCCAUGUUCAUGGUCAUUAUACUAGUUUGAUUACCCUUUUCAGACUCCUCUGAGAUUGUAAUGUGACCCAUUGUCUGAGGAAACUGGAGAAUUUCGUACAUAAAAUAUUUACAAAUGCUAUUGAGUUCUUACUAUUGAGUUCUUAGACCUCUAAUCAAAUGGUAGUCAUAUAUAUUAUUUAACGUAAUCUGCCCUUCUGGGAUGAGAACCAGUCCUUCCCAGACACCCCUGUUUAGUCAUCUAGCUACAUGAAUCUUGAGGAAUCUUGAAAGACCAUCCAUGGAAACAUCCUGGCCUGUGCUAAAAGUGUCUUGAUCCCCCCACUUAUCUGCAUCCUUUGCUGCUUAUACAUUGUGCUGCUGAGUAUAACUGAGGUUAUAUUAGGAUUUCUAUGCAAGGGGAAGCCUGCAAGCAGAGUGGAGCCUGAAUCAAGACCAAUCUCUGGAGGAAAGAAAAAGCACGCAGACUUGAAUUCAGGACUCCUCUGUAAGCCAACCAGUUAGGUGAGAGAUGCUUCCUAAUACGUUUUACUGCAGAGAAAAUGGAGUUUGGGAUCAAAUCAUUUGAGUAGUGUUUGUUUUGAUGUCUGGACCCCAUCUGCAUUGUUUGACAGUAGGUCCAGUAGGUCUAACCUGUAAGAUGAAGUUUAGAAGGUCAUUUGAAUAAAGGUUAGCUCUAAUGUAGUGAGCUAGAAGCUUAAUUUGUGUUGUCUGUGUUGUAUUUCUGAAAUUCCUCUUCUGUUCUUUCCCCACCCCUUUCUCUGGGUGUGAGACCGGUGACCACUUGCAACUCAUCCUUUUUAUCCUUCAAGUUUCUAUUCUAUGAUUUUUGUUUUUGAUGUAAUUUGGCAGUAUGCAAGUUCAAUUGACAAAUAUGUGACUACCAUGUGGGAUUUACAGCAGUAUCUAGUAAUAGCUAUUUGUGUGCAGUGGUUUCCAGCUUUUCAUUUGUUGUUCCUUGGAGCUCUAGGGCAGCUUUGAAAGAGCCAACAAAGCAAUAUAAAGAAAGCAAGCUUCCUUGUGCUAUUUGACCAACUCUGAAGCUUCUUAAGAGGCUACAUAUGCACUGGAAAACUUGGAGGACUGAAUAUGGAAAACCAGAGAAACAUGGGUUUUUAGCACACUUGAUCCUUUUCUCCAUGCUCCAGGGGCAACAGCGUACUGAAGGAAGGAACUUGAGUUUUCCACAUUUUUUUUUCCAAUUACAAAUUUCUGGUAGUGUUCAGUAUGCAGGGAUGGUGAAUGAGAGAAAGGACUUCUGAAGGCAGAGUAUGUGUGAACUUUUUGCUCUUAAGAAUCAUGGCUGUGUUUUGAGCCCUAGUCCUAAAUAGGUCUUUGUCCCAGGUCACCUUGCUGCAUGUGUCAUAUGGCCAUUCUUGCUCAGAAACAAACGUUGCUCUUCUCCUGGAGGGCCAGUCUGGUUGACUGUGCUCAGCAGAACCAAUGAUUCUUGGUGGAAACCAAGAUCCUAGAAAACACUCUCCAAAGAAAAAAAACAUGGAAAGUUAGAUUUAUGAGCAAUAUGAUGUAACUGCACAAAAAUAAGGUAGGCAACUGACUUUUUUAUUUAAAAAAAAAAAAACAAAACUAAGUGUAAUUCACAGAGAAACUUAAUGUUGAUGUCUGGGACCUGAUAAAGUGGUUUAAAUAACAAAAAUCUGUUUCAUAAUGUAUUUGGAGAAGUGAAGUGGUUACCAUGCUGAGGGAGCAUAUUUAUGCUUUCCACGUGGGGGGAGAGGAUGAGAAAACAUAUAGAAAUGGGGAAGAGAUUAAGAGCUUAUUUUAAGCUAUAUUUCCAAUAUGGUUAUGUUCUAGGGCAGAUGAGCAGAUCAGUAGGGCUUCAUACAAACUGUUGUUAUACCCAAACCUAACCUGUUUGAUAAUGGGUAACUAACAAGGCACUGGAGUGCAACCAUAACUCUCAGAUAGAGAUGUGGAAGGUAAAGGACAGUGUAACUGGUUACUGCAGUGCUCUUUGCACUUUGUCUUGUAGGUGUGAUAGUAAUAGUAAAUGUUUUCCAGCUGUGGUGAUCUUAAAUAUAGCCAAAUAAUGACUAUCUGGAAGUGGGGUUGAGGAAGGAAAAUGAGCUGAACUAAAGAGACCUGCUUUAAAUGUCUCCAGGAAAAAGAAAAGGCAGUAGAUGAUCUGAGUAAAACAAAGUCAGUCUACAGUGUGGGAGGAGAGAAGGAAAAUAGGAUCGUAAUAUCCCCAAACAGUAGUUGCUGAGAGGUGCUGAAGUGUGUUGCAAGUUGGUAAGUUUAUACUGGCCAGAGCCCUUGUUGGGAGUAGAUGAAGUCAGGCGUCACAGCAUGUGGCAGAGACAGCUGGCCAGAGGUGCUUGUAGUUCUGCAGUGACAGAUGUUGGAGCCAGACGUGGAGCCUGUAAUGUCUCCUCCUGCAGAGAAGAGCCAUGUAGUAAAAACUGACUUACCAAGGAGGCUUGGGAGGCCUGUGGUGAUACGCGGUCUUUGGCUGUGAGAGUUUGACAAAACAAAGAGGCUAGAUUAAGUUGUGUGGGUGGGAAGAGCAAGAUUGUGUGAGGUGAAUUCAGUGGUGUGACAAGCAGGAAUGUACCCUGAGAUUACUAAAUGGUUAAAAUAAAUAAUAAAAAAAAACAACCACCCCCAAAACCAACCCAACUUGUGAGUGUUGCAGUCAAUAGUAAAGCACUUGACAGAUUUCAUCACUGUUGAAACCCUCCAAGCACAAUAAAAUGCAAAUAGUUAACAUCUUUGAGCCAUGUUUCAAGGUGAAGCAUAGACUGUUAAAACGAAUGAAGGCUUGAGGGAAUGGUUAACAGAGACCUGUUUGUCAAAUAACAGCUCAUUCUUUCAGAUCUUUUGUGUAUCCCCUUGUAAAUAAAUGCAUAGGUGAAUCAGUGCUCUGAAAAUGGGAUGCAAAAGAUAUUUUGGUUCUGAUUUCUUUCUGUAAAUAAUUCAUUGACCGGUAUUUGAGUAAAGACCAAAAUGUAGUGGAGCAUAACAGAAAAGGAUUCAUUUUUUCCUCCUUAGCUAAUUAUUGACUGCCCUAGCAGUUCCUUUGUCCAUUCUGUUGGGUGGUAGAAAACCAAGGAGUUUCAGCCAUAUUACCUGCAAAUUGCUGAGUCUACUUAAUGGAUUGGGAGAUCAGCUGUCCUUGUUUCCAGUUGUCAACCUACAGCUGAAAACUGUUUUUGGAAAUCAAAUACCAUGGCUUAAAGAAAGUUGAUUCUUAACUAUAUUCAAAACUUGCACGUUUUGUUUGCUCUGAGAGAGUGCCCCAAUUGGAAAUGGAGGCCUGAAAUACCAAACCUUAUGUAUCCAUAUGAUGAAUUUUGGGUUUUUCCUUGUUGUAGAGAGGGAGAGUGGUUUGCAUUGCUUGGUAUUUGUCUGCAAGAAUAAACUUCUGCGCUGUCUUUCUCAGGUCAAAAGCAUUAUGUGAAGCAUAUGACGUGUGGAAUCAAACUCUACAACCUACGUAAGGUUGUAAAGCAAGUCUGUUUAUUACAGCACUGGGAAGCACUUGGGAAUAUUUCCACCAUAAGUGUAUCAAAGAUUACAUGAUUCAGAGUCCAUUAUAUUUCCACAGAUAGUACGUAUUCAUCAGUUACGUGUGAGACAAUUAAUGUAUACACACCUACCUCAGAUAGUGAUUUAUGAGGUCUCCAGUUUUCCUUCUACUGUCUGGCAUUUUUUUAGCAUCAUGACAGUCCAACUGACAGCCUUUUACUUCGUCCAGUGAUCUUCCUCACUUGUGCUCUAUAUGAACUUUCUUCAUUGAUGCAUGCUCAGUAGGAGAAUGCCUAUUAUAAGUAAUUUAUAGGUACCAAAAUAGUAACAUUUGCUCACUUAGCACUUGGCCAUUAUUUCUGGACAUCUGCUUAUCCUUGAAUAGAGAUAAGUUUGGCAACCUGUCUUUUAAUGAUAUAUACUGGGAUGUUAACCUGCCUUCUAAUGAUAUAUACUGGGGUGUAGAAGAUAAGGAGGAUAGAGGGGAGUAUCUUGACGCCUGCAUCUAUUGCAUCCCAACCCAAUCCCAGUGUGAGACUAUUUGGCCCUGUGUGGAGGCCCUGGCUUUCAUUAUUGUGUUUCUUUUGCUGAGGGACUUUUAUCAAAACUGAAUAGCCUUACAACAUGCUUUCUAGUCUAUAAUACCACAACCAUACUAUUUGCAACAUCUAAAAGCUAUUACAGUUUUGCAAGCAAGAAUUAAUCACAUAAUACAACAAUCCAACAACUAUAUUCCUAAAAUACACUACUAAAAUAUAUGGUAUUUCUACUUCUUCAAAUCAGCUAUUUCUAAAAACAAGUUGCAAAAUACAUUGUUCUCUACUUCUUCAAAUCACAUAGUGCUUUAUGAGUCUCCAAGCACAGAGUAUUCUAAGAACUGAUGGCAGCUGCUUCCACUUGUACCUUUGUUUGAAAAACACUGAGCUCCUUGCUGUGAAGUUCCCAGGCCUUUCCUUUAGUGCUAGCUGCAAGUGCACUCUGCAGCAGAUGAGAUAAGACUGUCUGCAAGCAUGCCAACCACAACAGCACAGAAAGAGGGGAUGAUGUGAAUUAAAAAGAAUGGACAUAACAAAUACAUGUAUGUUGGUAAGAGUAAUUUAGAACCAGCUGAAGAACUUUUGUGAAGAAGGAAGAAAAAACAUGUUAAUGGUUGGUGCUUGUUUAUUUUUUUAAAUGAUGUCAUUCAGUAUGUCUACCUGCAGUAGCAAGAAGUAACGAUCUGUCCAGAAAAGGACUCCCUAGAGUAACUAUCUUGUGAGUCAUGCCUCCAAGAAAAAGAACAAGCCGUAAGAGAUUCAUGAUCACGUUCUUCCACCCUAGGAAAUGUAGGGGUAGUACUUUGAAACAUAACACUGAAUUUUGUAUCUCUUUUGUUUUGUUUCACAGUCUGUGCCUGAAGAGAAAGCACAAUUAGAUAGUUCAGCUCCAUGCCCCAAAGGUUGAUGGAAGUCAUGUCUCAGAUCUGUAUCUCACAAAAUACAUAACACAUAAAUGAGUGAUAGCUGUUCCUUUUCUUGAGUCUUUCAUACAGUGCUGUAUUUAUUUUUUUGACUACUGCACCAAUUUUGCUCACUCCAAAAGUCUAAAAUGCCACACCAUUAUGGCAGAAGUCUGUGGUGCUGAUGCUAAUGGCUUUCUUGAGCCAAAUCACAGAUCUUUGGGUGAUUCCGAGAUGUAAGGCAGCAGGUGGACACAGACUAAAGCACAAUCUGAAAUGCAAGAGGAACUCAAAUAUUGCGUUAGGGUUCUGAGGUUCUGACAGCAAGGUUUCACUCUAAAUGCCUGUUGUGAUAAUGAAUUGCCUUUUCCUAAUAAAGUCAAUUAAAUGAGCACUUGACUGUACCUAUGGCUAAAACUUGUUUGAGCCACUGGAUACCACUGAGCAUUUACAUGCUUUGCUGAGUCUCUUUCUGCUACCCACUCUGAUUUGGCUUGGUCGUAGUUCUCCCUUUGUCCUGUGGUUUCUUUGGACCUUCCAAGGGCCAUUGCACAUUGUUCUUCCUACUAGAAUGUGGCCAUGAGACAUUAGCCAUCAUAUAAAAGCUUUCUAUUCUAAAAAUUGGUUGUUGAGUUAAUGGUCUCCAAAAUGCAACUUCUCUUCAGUAGUACAGAAACUCUAAGAAGCUCAGUUCAGCUCAGUAUUUUUGCUCAACCUAAGUAGAGUGACCUGACAGGUUAGAAGUUGCUACCUUCUAACAGAUCCUACUUCUUACAGGUGGUUUGGAGCAGGCACUUUCUGCCCCAUCACUACUGCUCCUGCAAGCAAGUAACCAUCUCGCUUAGCAUAUCUCUGCAUUACCCUGACCUUGCAGGUGUCCCUUGGAUUGCUGACUGUAUAGGGGGACAAAAACUUGUUCUUCAAAAUUGGUAGCAGUUCUCCUUUUUCAGUACCUGUAACAGAAGACUGCCUAUUGUCACUGUCAGGUGAAAUAAGGUUAUUUUGCAUGGUAUUAUUUGAAAAAGUCAGACCUGUGAAAUACCACUGCAAAUAGCAGGUAAAGCCAGUUGCUGUUCAUCUCUUCUGUUUUUGCUAGUAAUUUAGGCUAAGUGCAUUUUAAAUGCGGUACUGCAAAUUACCCAUCGUAUUUUAAACAAAGCAUUACUGGUUAUUUUUGGUCAUGGGAGUGUAUAGCUUUGAAGCACUUCAAUGCUGAAAUUCGUUUGAAAAACUUCAGAGUUGCUGUGUAUAAGACAAGGACACACAUUUGACAACAAUCUAGCUGUUUUUCCAUGUUCUUUAUUGGACUGUGUUAGAUGCAGCAAUAUAUGUCUUAUUUCUUGUUAGUAGCUUAGCAAGAAGUAUUCUCAUAACUCAGUAGCUCCAUUCCAGAUAUUCACAGAAUGGCUGAAGUUGAAAGGGACUACUUGGGAACAUCUACUCCAACCCUCCUGCUUCAAGCAGCGUCACCUGGAGCACAUUGCCCAGGAUCGCAUCCAGGUGGAAAAAUAACUAUUUCUAACGGGAAUGCUAAGUGAGAGCCUGACCAUACAUACCAGUUUCUAUCAGUAAAAGGCAAAUGCAUAUUUAGAAGUAUUUUUAUUACAAGAGUCCUAGGAAAUGUGUGCUUAUGUGGUUUGAAGCAAGAAGUGAGUCAAAACAUGUAACUGUUUCAACAGACAAGACUGAGGAAGGAUGCCUGGGCACAGAAAUAAAGCAACUUGCUCACAGUCAUUUCAGGGUUUGGUGUGGAGUCAUGCAGACAGUACAUCUGCCCUGAUUUGUCUCUGGUGCUGUAUCUUGUCAUUUGCCACAUCUCUCUGGGGUGUUUCAACUGAAUGUCUUUAAUUUAGUAUGCCAGCAUAAGUUGAUUUCUUUCUCCGUGUUAACUGUAUUUGAUGGUUUUACUUGUUUUUCAGUUCUGAUGGUCUGAAGAGCCUCUUUCUGUCCCAGUUUCUUCUGUUUGCUUGCCUGCUUUAAAUAAGAGACAAGAAUUUUCUCAUAGGAGCUUUUAUGCUUGUCCCCAGUUGUAGCCAGCCUGUGGUGUGGGUCUAGCUUGGGCUCAGGGAAGGUGCAGCUGUAUCUGGUUCCCCAGCUCUACACUUGGACACUCACAGCUUUGUGUAGAUGGCUUUGCUGUUCAGAUCGUUUUAUCCUGAGCCUUGUAUUCCAUGAGUCACAGAAUCUUCAGAGUAGUUCAGCAUCUGAGCAGGGGCAGCAUGAGGGAAAACUUCUCUUAUAUCUGUCUGCUUUCAACACGUUCCCCCCUCAAGUCAAAUGAAAUAUCUUAAGUAAGGGAGGUGUUUUGUGAAGCAGAGCAACAGACGUUAAACGUUUUACUGCAGAGUAGAAAGUGUUUUGAAGAGGAAUGAAUAAUACAAAUGCAGUUCAUGUUCUCAUUGCCUAGUCAAGAUAUCACAUUCAGAGUUUUCAGUUUCGUCAGAAUGAACUGAGGUAAAGCACUGAAAGAAGGCUGAAUUCAGCCUGUGAAGGAUGAUGUGUUCUGAUCAGGAGCAGAAACAAAAGUCUGUUUGAGCCAUGACAGUGUUUUGCAAAGAUGACUUUUUACUUACUUGACACUGCCUUGCAGGGCUCCUGUAUUUAGACUGAAGUGCUUCAAACUGUUCUCCAGUUCACCAGCUCUUCUGUAAUGCAAGCAGCUCUUCUCCCCUGUACGUAUGUGACCUUCACAAAUCAAAGUGUCUGUGGAAUAAACACAGAUGAUUUUCAGGUGCAAUUUUUUUAUUUGCUUUGUCCAACUUGAAUUGUUUUGAACAGCUGAUUUAUGUAAGGUUUACAAUCCACUGUUUACUUCUCAAUACUUCUAUAAGUGCAUAAUUUAUUAAACUUGAGACUAACUCUCACAAGAUCUGCCAUUUUGUUUUGAAUUUUCUUACAUUAAGUCUUCCUUUCAUUUACAAAACCUUUUUUGAAAGCUGUUAACAACCUUCAGCCCACAAAACCUGUGUAAAGAAUUUUUUGCUGACUCCAAAUUUGUUAAGACUGCAUUAAUGUGAGAAGCUGCUUGUUUCUGAGGCAUUUCUUGCAAAUUUAUUUUAAAAUGUUGUUCAGAAAUGUGAGACAAAUGCAAAAAAUGAUUCAAGACACUCUUUUGUAAGGAAUAGUUGACAAGGCUUGCUUAGAGUUCAUCUAAGCAGCUUUUCCCAUGUACCAAGAAUGGAAAUGUGAUGUGUGAGGGAUCCUCUCUUCAGACAGAUUUUGUCAUCCAUUCUUUAUUUUAGAAUUUCAGCACUAGAUUUGAGAUUCUCUUUUUCCUUUUUUUUUCUUUCCCAAGCGCUCAGAUUUGAUUUAAGUGGCUAAGAAAGAACUACAUUUCUGAAAAAAAAACCAAACCCAACCUUUAUUAUAUGUCAUAGUGAGAUUUUUUUCUUGUAUAUCUGAGGUGUUGGUGAUUAAAGAAAUUGCCCCAAGUCCUGGUUCUCAGCACUUAAAAUGGUCCUAGAGGAUUCCUGAACAUGUUAAUGUUUUGAUUUUGUUAAGUAGCAUGUACUGUAUUGUUGCAGUGAACCACGGGAGUUGCAGGGAAGAGAAGUGAAUUGCUUCUUUUCAGGCAAUGUAAGUGGUAAAAAGCUGAGGAUAAUCCCUAGACUCACUUACACAUAUUAUAACUGUUGAGAAAAACAUUCUCUCGGCAUGUACUGGAACAAAGUUAAUAUAUAUAUUUCUUAAUCUGUCCUGCAGACCCUAAGGAUGACAAACCAUUAGUUUUGUUUUGGGCAACUCUUUUAGCAAGCUCCUUGGUAUGGAGACUGCAGGAGUGCAUAGGAUGGUCAGAACAGAAAUAAGAGGUUUUUAUUGUUGUUUUGAAGACUCCUGAAGAACCAAAGCAGAAGUUAAAAUCCUAGUUAAUGAUAAAUCUGGCAUUUGUAUAUUAUUGGGUUUUUUUGGGGGGGGUCUGCUUUUUGGAUUUUGCUCUCCAGUUGUUGCUUAGCUCGGAGGAAGGCCAAAGUGUAUAGUGCCAUGUUGUGUCGUGUCUGCCUCCAGCAUGAACAGCCCUGUGGUGGCAACGGACAAACAGGCCUUGCAAUGACAGUGAGCCACUUCAUUUUCAUUUGUCAGUGGGCGAGAUGGAAGAAGGGGAAAAACAUUCUAUUUAAGACUGAGCUGAGCCAUGCCAUUUUUUUCCUUCCUACUGAGGCAUCCAGACACCUGAAUCUCUUUAGUUCCCCAGUGGAAAAAAAAAAGGGCCAAAAACACCCAUCUCUGAAGGCCUUGGGGUGGAGCUAGAGCAGCCCCACGGGAGGGGAAGCAGUAGGGUGGGUCAGCAGUGUCCAGCCAGAGGGGAGAUUUAUGUGACUACUAUGGUCUGAACCCCAGGGCACUAGGAAGAAGGUGUGGAAGGACUGUAAUUAGUUUAACUGGCCACAGGUAUGUUGGAUGAUCAGGCUAGAGAUAAACAACAAUUUAUAGGGCUGAUUCUGGCCCCGGCUUUUGCUUUAACCAAAUGGAUCACAUGCUGGCCUUAGGGCUGGGCGUUUCUCUGAGCUGGGACUUGGUCGCAACAAGUCACAGCCAUUCUGGGUGCAGCCAAGCUGUAACAGAUCCCAGUUUUCUGCACUUUUCCUCAAAAACCUAUUAAUUAGCUUUUGCUGCUGUUUUCUAAGCCUCUCACUGGGCUUAGCUCUUUUAAGAGCUAGUGCUAGUUUUGAUUUCCUUGUGGAGUUCACUGUUGAGUUAUUUGACAUAUUACAGACUUUCUCAUAAGGACUUACAGGAAGCUCUAUUGUGACUUCCCACGUGUUUAAUGCGUUGCCAUUUUAAUGGCUGUAAGGGAAAUGCCUUUCUGGAACACUAACUUUAAUUUACUUGCAUUUAAAAAGCAAACUACAGAGCACAGUUGGCUACAGCUCAUGCUUGGUCUUCGAGAGAGUAGAGAUCUUCUAGAUCUCAAGUAGCGAUCUUGUCAGAAUUUUGUGCAAGACUUUUCAAAAAACUUUCCUUGGAGUGUGAACAGAGAAGCGUGAGGAAGGGAAAAAAUAUAAUAAGAAACAUAAACACAUUCUAGAUCAAAAGCAUGAUUGGCAUUGAGGCAGAAGGCAGAUUGACUCAGCAGUCUGUUAUUACCUCCUCCCCUCAGUGCAAAUGUCUAUUGUGUAUAUAAAUGACAGAGUCCCGCACAACCUAGAUAUAAGACUACUAUUCACAGUAGGUAGCACCUUUCUCUGCAGGCAGUCCUAUCAGCUGCAGGGAAGCUACUUGUAGUGAAGGAUAUUAAGCGGUGCCAGUAAGGGCACAGCUCAUCAGCUGUUGCAGCAGAUGGGGGCUGUAUGAUCACUGCUUCUGCUUGACUCCUUGUGCCCCUCUCUGUCAUGCAGUCACCCUUGUUCAGUCAACUAUGAUUUUUCUGAUUGUGCUCUGUGAAUGAUUUGGGUUUGAUUUUUAACCCAAUUUAUUUCACAGGACCAGAGGAAGUCAGAGUUAGGCAUAUUUUUUUUACUGCCCUGCUCAGUUUUGCAAAAAUAACUGUCUUCCCCGUUAUGGGGAAAGCAAUAGAAAUAAGUUAUCACACAGGCCACUGAUUCUAAUUAGCCCCCAAGUGCAGGUAAAAGCCCCGUCUCUUCUGCAUUUGCACUAUUUAUCAGUCUCCCAGUGGCAGUAUUGACUGUGAGUGCCUAUUGCUCCAUCCCCUUUUGAGCUGGUGGCUGUGAGCUGGAGUAAGUUGCUCACUACUAGCUCUGCUGCUCAGCAUCCCCUCAGCAGCUCCAUCCUGGCCUGGGACUGGAGUGGGACUUUGGGUAGAUCUGCUGGCCAGUAGUGGGUGAGCAGCCUGGAAAGAGAAGGGCAGGGCUGGAGAGUGACCUGAGAGUUCUGCGUACAGCACUCACGGCUCAGAGGAGUCCCACCAGGGAUUAGGCUUAGCUGCAAACCAGCUCUGAAUCACCUUUCUUUUGACAAGCGUGUUGCUCUGCUAUCUUGAAAGAAGAUCCUGGCAGAGCCAAAUAGCUAGGAUGAAUUUUUGCUGCAGUGGGGAGUGUUACUGCCAGAUCUUCUCACAUGAGCUGUCUAGAUGUCCUUUAAUGGUAACUAUGGGGUGCUUACAUUUCUCCCAGUCUUUAUGCCUUAAUGACAAUUAUUUGUCACACUUACAGUUUUGUACUAUUGGCAUACAGCACUGACAUCUCCUGCAAGGCUCAGACAGAUAUCUUUAUUUAAAAAAAAAAAAAAAAAUAGUUCUGCCAUACUGUGUAUAGAUGCAUUUGGAAGUAAUUUAAUAAAUACAGAACGCUGCAGUUCUCCAUGAGGGUAUUCUCUAUUUCAAAGAGAUUGCUGCUACUUAGGGCAAGACAUCUGUUGUCUGAGCAUCCUGCAAGACACUGAACAAUAGGCCUGUUUUUUUUGGCAAGUCUCCAUAGUCACCGACAUCUAAGAAUAGCAUAUGGAGGAUCUCUACUCAAUAGGAGUUGAUGUUGAUGUGUGCAAGCAGGUGAAUAUUUUAAAUCUUUGUUGUAUGGAGUCUAAAACCCUUAGCUGUUACAGUUCCUACUUUGGACUUCUCAGUUCAUAGUCAGUUCCUGGUUCAGCCUUGGAGAAAUCACUUUUGUAUCCCAUAUACUCAGGUAGACGAGAAGCCACUUGGAGCAGCAGAAUUCACUUGCCCUUUACCAGCAGGGUUGCGGGGAGGCUAGUUGAUGCAGCCAAGUAUUUUGUACUAGGAGCACUGUCUCUUAACAUAUCUCAUAAUAUCUUUCCUGCCAGCAUCUCUUCCAUGCAAUGUUAAAUCUCUGGUGUAUAAUGAGAGCUGGGACAUGCAGCAACUUUUUCCUUAUGAAGGGACGUUGAUAGCCUCUUCCCUCUGCUGCUCGUAUUUCCAGGACUUCCGAGAACUGGAGAUUCUUAUGUCAGGUGUGGAGCAGAGUUGCCAUACAUUUAAUGGAAAGAGGAACACAUGCAGAGUGAGGAUACAGAAAUAUUCUCUUACGAUUGGAGCAAAAGAAGCUUAUGGAUUACAUGAUAUUUUUUUGCUGUGUGUGUCUCCAGAGUUAACAAGAACUGGAAAUUUCUGUUCCACUGGAAACAUAAGACCUUUGAGUGGACAAACCUGAGACCGUGCAACGUGAACUAGAAACCAGAGACUUUGUGCACUGUGUUCGUUGCCUUGAUGCAUGCUACCAAUUUCUCUGAAAGUAGUCUGUCUGCCUGGAAGAUCUGAGACCCAAGGAUCUGAGUCUGGAUUGCACGUAUAGGGAAAUAAGAACUCUCUGCCAUUUGGAAACUAGUAUUUGUGGUUCUCUAAUUGCUUGGUCUGGUAAAUUUAGUUAGGAUAAGUUUCUGAGAAGAAGCCACCUACUAGCAGCCUGACCACACUAGUAAGUGAUAGAAACAUCAUGCAUGGAAGCCAAUGAGGUCCCUGGAAAACUGUAGCUAUUUUCUUUUUUUUAGUGAAAAAAGAUCAGGAGAAAAGAGACAGAAAACAGGGAUAAAACUUCAGCUGGUACAAUGUCAUCUGUGAUGAGGACUUCAGUAGCAGUUCUGGUGUAGCGCAGAAGGUUUAUGGAUGAUCUUAAGGAAACAGCAAAUAGAAGUCACAAAAACUAACAGAAAGAGACAAGUAAGACUUGUGCCUGCAGGUUAGUUUUCCAUCCUGUUAGGGAUAGCUUCUGGGUGCGUUUUCUUUGCUAAAUGGAGUAUUUUACAGUUCAAAUCUGGUCUAGACAGUUUAGCCACAAUAUUUUAAUAUUCUUUGGAGAUCUUUAAAAAAAAAUUCCUGCCGUAUUUGAACAAAUGGCUUUUCAUUGAAUACUCACCCUCACUUCAGCUGUAAGACUAAAAUGAAAAGGUUCUCUUUUUUUUCCUGGUGAUCGAGCUGCUAGGGAAGGGAAGAAUUAUCCUGUGGAGUAGAUGUUGGGGAACAGAAGGAGCUCUUUUCUUAUUGAUAGCUGCUUAUUUAUUAACUCUCAGUCCAAUAGCAAGCUGCAGGGGUUCAGGCUAGAGUUAUCUUUGCUUUGAGGCAAAAUCUGCCCUUGUGAGUUCAUGUAUAAGUCCCCAGUAGUUCUAGCUGCUUCAGUGCUAAUACUUAUUUCAGAAAUGGUUCCCCCAGAGCAGGUGAGGGAUAAAGAUUGUCUGUCUUAAUUUUAGUAAUUGUCUGUUUUAAUCCUUAGUAAGUAUAAGAAUGAAAUAUAGCUUAAAAAAAACCCACAAACAUCCUACAAGUUCUCCUUAUGUAGUUUCUGGUGCUUGUAGUGAGAUAGUUGAUUCAGCUGAAAAUAAGGAUGCAUGUGAAUGUUUGCGAAACUGGAGCCUGAAAAAGGGGUAUAGCUCUCAGAAAAAAAAGAAUAUUGAGGUAAAUUUACAACCUCUGUUUUCAGUUGUGUGUUUUGCAACGAGGACUGCAAGACUGAGCCUGUAUUUUUUCUGAACAAUAAAUCCUGCUUAAACA